GCUCAGUUGGUAGAGCAGCGGACUGAAAAUCCGCGUGUCGGUGGUUCGAAUCCGCCUCUGGGCACCA
rnacentral:tRNA from 2 species